rnacentral:rRNA from 1 species
UGAACGCUGGCGGCGUGCCUAAUACAUGCAAGUCGAGCGAACAGACGCGGAGCUUGCUCCUCUGACGUUAGCGGCGGACGGGUGAGUAACACGUGGAUAACCUACCUAUAAGACUGGGAUAACUUCGGGAAACCGGAGCUAAUACCGGAUAAUAUAUUGAACCGCAUGGUUCAAUAGUGAAAGACGGUUUUGCUGUCACUUAUAGAUGGAUCCGCGCCGCAUUAGCUAGUUGGUAAGGUAACGGCUUACCAAGGCAACGAUGCGUAGCCGACCUGAGAGGGUGAUCGGCCACACUGGAACUGAGACACGGUCCAGACUCCUACGGGAGGCAGCAGUAGGGAGUCUUCCGCAAUGGGCGAAAGCCUGACGGAGCAACGCCGCGUGAGUGAUGAAGGUCUUCGGAUCGUAAAACUCUGUUAUUAGGGAAGAACAAAUGUGUAAGUAACUAUGCACGUCUUGACGGUACCUAAUCAGAAAGCCACGGCUAACUACGUG